rnacentral:rRNA from 1 species
GACGAACGCUGGCGGCGUGCCUAAUACAUGCAAGUCGAACGCACUCUCGUUUAGAUUGAAGGAGCUUGCUCCUGAUUGAUAAACAUUUGAGUGAGUGGCGGACGGGUGAGUAACACGUGGGUAACCUGCCCUAAAGUGGGGGAUAACAUUUGGAAACAGAUGCUAAUACCGCAUAAAACCUAACACCGCAUGGUGUAGGGUUGAAAGAUGGUUUCGGCUAUCACUUUAGGAUGGACCCGCGGUGCAUUAGUUAGUUGGUGAGGUAAAGGCUCACCAAGACCGUGAUGCAUAGCCGACCUGAGAGGGUAAUCGGCCACACUGGGACUGAGACACGGCCCAGACUCCUACGGGAGGCAGCAGUAGGGAAUCUUCCACAAUGGACGAAAGUCUGAUGGAGCAACGCCGCGUGAGUGAAGAAGGUUUUCGGAUCGUAAAACUCUGUUAGUUGGAGAAGAAUGUAUCUGAUAGUAACUGAUCAGGUAGUGACGGUAUCC